rnacentral:rRNA from 1 species
UACGGAGGGUGCGAGCGUUAUCCGGAAUUACUGGGUUUAAAGGGUGCGUAGGCGGCCAUGUAAGUCAGGAGUGAAAGUUUGCGGCUCAACCGUAAAAUUGCUUUUGAUACUGCAUGGCUGGAAUCAGGAUGAGGUCAGCGGAAUGUGGCAUGUAGCGGUGAAAUGCAUAGAUAUGCCAUAGAACACCAAUGGCGAAGGCAGCUGGCUAGACCUGUAUUGACGCUGAGGCACGAAAGCCAGGGGAGCAAACGGG